rnacentral:rRNA from 1 species
GUCCACGCUGUAAACGAUGAGUGCUAGAUGUUGGGGAAUUUAUUCUUCAGUGUCGUCGUUAACGCUUUAAGCACUCCGCCUGGGGAGUACGGUCGCAAGAUUAAAACUCAAAGGAAUUGACGGGGACCCGCACAAGCGGUGGAGCAUGUGGUUUAAUUCGACGAUACACGAAGAACCUUACCUGGACUUGACAUAGUAAGAACUUUCUAGAGAUAGAUUGGUGUCUGCUUGCAGAAACUUAUAUACAGGUGCUGCACGGCUGUCGU